rnacentral:rRNA from 1 species
UACAGAGGUCUCGAGCGUUUAGGCGGAAUCACUGGGCUUAAAGCGUGUGUAGGUGGAUCGUUAAGUACCUUGUGAAAUCCCACGGCUUAACCGUGGAACUGCUUGGUAUACUGGCGGUCUUGAGUCAGCUAGGGGCUACCGGAACAAAUGGUGGAGCGGUGAAAUGCGUAGAUAUCAGGAGGAACACCGGUGGCGAAGGCGGGUCUCUGGGCCGAUACUGACACUGAGGAGCGAAAGCGUGGGGAGCGAACAGG